UACAGAGGGUGCAAGCGUUGUUCGGAAUUAUUGGGCGUAAAGCGCGUGUAGGCGGCAUGGCAAGUCGGGUGUGAAAGCCCUCAGCUCAACUGAGGGAAGUGCGCCCGAAACUGCUUUGCUUGAGUGCUGGAGAGGGUCGCGGAAUUCCCCAAGUAGAGGUGAAAUUCGUAGAUAUGGGGAGGAACACCGGUGGCGAAGGCGGCGACCUGGACGAGUAACUGACGCUGAGACGCGAAAGCGUGGGUAGCAAACAGG
rnacentral:rRNA from 1 species